rnacentral:lncRNA from 1 species
UUUACUGUUACUCUACGGAAUUAUUAUUUCUCCUCUGUACUCUAUUUCCUUUUCUGUUAAUGUAAUCGUUUUACUCGUUCUGUUAAGAGUAUUUGUUAUAUCUCCGUUUUUUGAUCCAGUUUUCUGCGCGUAUAUCGUUUGUAUCCUCUAGGUUGUAUUUCUUAUCUGGUUGUUCUUCUUGUCUAUUUAAAUCUGACCAUGUAUCUUCUUGAAUCUUAUCCUUGUCGGUCUUUUAUUUAUUUCUAAUUCGUCCUUGAAUAUUAGUUUUGUAUAUAUUCUUCGUUCUCGAAGAUGCUGGACCGAUGUUGAAUCUUAUUUUUGAAUUAUAUAUUUUGCGUUCAAAAUUUAUAUAUUCCGAUUCUAUAUUCUAUUUCUUGGUAAUUUAUUUCGAUCUGCUAUACUAUGUCGUUCUAGAUCAGUCUGUUUCGUCGUCGCGCGAUUCGACAUAGUAAUUGUACCUCUUAGUACGCUGUUUUGUAAUCUAUUUUCCUUUUUUUUGUGUGUUAUAUGUGUUUUUCACUGAUUACUUUCUUCUUCUUGUUUACUGUAGGAAUUUUUUUAAUCUCUCCGAGGUAAUCCGACUUUCGGAUGCGCUGUUGCUGAAAUUUUCAGACAAUGAGUGAUCUAUCACCAUCAUCUCUUAAUGCCGUUCAGCCAACUACUGAUUCGUUCACACUUUUUGGUCAUAGAAUUAUAUCAGUUAUUCCAAACUGUAAUAUUGCAAUUGUUGAUGAUGCUUACAGUACAUUAUCGUUUAUUUGUUAGGGCGUAGAUUGAAGAAGAAAAAUUCAUUAUCAUUUGAAGAUCGUUGUUGUUAUCUCCAACAACUUCCUCAAAGGUUGUUUCUUUGUAGUUAUGUUCGGGGCGCUAAGAAUU